rnacentral:rRNA from 1 species
GAGUUUGAUCUUGGCUCAGAAUCAACGCUGGCGGCGUGCCUAACACAUGCAAGUCGAACGCGAAAGGGGCUUCGGUCCUGAGUAGAGUGGCGAACGGGUGAGUAACACGUGGGUGAUCUACCUUUGAGUGGGGGAUAACGUUCCGAAAGGAGCGCUAAUACCGCAUGACGUUCUGGGUUUAAAGACCUGGAAACCAAAGCCGGGGACCGCAAGGCCUGGCGCUUGAAGAGGAGCCCGCGUCCGAUUAGCUAGUUGGCGGGGUAAUGGCCCACCAAGGCGACGAUCGGUAGCCGGCCUGAGAGGGCGGACAGCCACACUGGAACUGAGACACGGUCCAGACUCCUACGGGAGGCAGCAGUGGGGAAUUGUUCACAAUGGGCGCAAGCCUGAUGACGCAACGCCGCGUGGGGGAUGAAGGUCUUCGGAUUGUAAACCCCUGUCGAACGGGACGAAAGACUCGGGAGCUAAUCAUCUCGAGAGUGACGGUACCGUUAAAGGAAGCCACGGCUAACUCUGUGCCAGCAGCCGCGGUAA